rnacentral:lncRNA from 10 species
GUACUGAGCCAGAGGCAGAACUCACAGCUCACCUCAGAGGUGAGGGUGAGAGUGUGAAAUGCUGUGGCGGUGAAAGUGAGGAGUCCUCGGUGUUCUCUGAGGCCAAGUUUCACAGCCCACUUUCUUCCCUCCCCAUGCCCUGGUGGAAUGCGGGCAUUAGGAUGGCACAAGCUCCACUUCCUGGCCCCGGGAGGAGGAAUUCCCUGCAGGAGGGAAUAGGCCCUUCAGAGCUGAUCUGUCCUGUGAGAAUUCCCAGCUGUGUGUGUGGCUUGUCCUCCCCACUAGAACAGGAGCUCCCUGUUGGAAAGGAUCAUUCUGUACCUCGCUCGUGCCCACUCACGAAGCAGAUGCUCAACACAUGCUCAUGAAAUGAAGCCAGCCUUGUCCUGACUGCACUUCACUCAGCCCUGGUUGAAGAGGCAAUAGGGAGGCCCAAGGAGAGAGAGAGACAUGGGGAAACAGCCAGUCUGUGGAGCGUCAGAACGUACGUCGACGUCGCACUGACAGAUUAAGUUUGUCGUCUUAUAAAAAGACCUGGACAUCAGUGAGAAAGGUGGAGUAAGGGCCUACAGAAAACUGCUCCUCCAUAAAAGCAAUGAGAACACUGGCAAAAAUUGUAAAUAUCAUCUUUUUAAGAAUAUGGGAAAUUAACCAGAUGCUUGCAAAAUCCAAGGAAUGUUUAUUAAAAAAAAAAAAAAAAACUAAGGUUUGUGGUGUUUUAAUGCACCCUAAUCCCAUGGUCCUUUCCUAAGAUCUGA